AUUGAACGCUGUCGGCAGGCCUAACACAUGCAAGUCGAACGAUUGGCGGACGGGUGAGUAAUGUCUGGGAAACUUCCUUAUGGAGGGGGAUAACUACUGGAAACGGUAGCUAAUACCGCAUACCAUCAGAUGUGCCCAGAUGGGAUUAGCUGGUUGGUGGGGUAACGGCUCACCAAGGCGACGAGCCCUAGCUGGUCUGAGAGGAGGACCAGCAACACGGGAAGUGAGCCACGGUCCAGACUCCUACGGGAGGCAGCAGUGGGGAAUAUUGCACAAGGGGCGCAAGCCUGAUGCAGCCAGGCCGCGUGUAGGAAGAAGGCCUUCGGGUUGUAAAGUACUUUCAGCGGGGAGGCGUUACCCGCAGAAGAAGCACCGGCUAACUCCGUGCCAGCAGCCGCGGUAAUUC
rnacentral:rRNA from 1 species